rnacentral:lncRNA from 1 species
GCUUGAUUAAUUGUGGUUGAGCAGUUUGAAUAAUGAUAAUAGUAUUUUUUAAUAGGUGUGGUUUGUAUAGAGCCUAGGCUCUAAACAAUUAGAUUAGAGCCUACUUUCAAAUAGUGUCGAGGAAUGUGGUGUCAAUAGCAGAAAUUUUUUUGAUAGCCUUAAGCUAUAUUUUUCAUAUUUAUUUAUAAAGUUUAAAGCUUCAAAUUAGUGUAGAUAGAGAAAUCUAUGAAAACUUG